AGAGUUUGAUCAUGGCUCAGAUUGAACGCUGGCGGCAGGCCUAACACAUGCAAGUCGAACGGUAACAGGAAGAAGCUUGCUUCUUUGCUGACGAGUGGCGGACGGGUGAGUAAUGUCUGGGAAACUGCCUGAUGGAGGGGGAUAACUACUGGAAACGGUAGCUAAUACCGCAUAACGUCGCAAGACCAAAGAGGGGGACCUUCGGGCCUCUUGCCAUCGGAUGUGCCCAGAUGGGAUUAGCUUGUUGGUGGGGUAACGGCUCACCAAGGCGACGAUCCCUAGCUGGUCUGAGAGGAUGACCAGCCACACUGGAACUGAGACACGGUCCAGACUCCUACGGGAGGCAGCAGUGGGGAAUAUUGCACAAUGGGCGCAAGCCUGAUGCAGCCAUGCCGCGUGUAUGAAGAAGGCCUUCGGGUUGUAAAGUACUUUCAGCGGGGAGGAAGGGAGUAAAGUUAAUACCUUUACUCAUUGACGUUACCCGCAGAAGAAGCACCGGCUAACUCCGUGCCAGCAGCCGCGGUAAUACGGAGGGUGCAAGCGUUAAUCGGAAUUACUGGGCGUAAAGCGCACGCAGGCGGUUUGUUAAGUCAGAUGUGAAAUCCCCGGGCUCAACCUGGGAACUGCAUCUGAUACUGGCAAGCUUGAGUCUCGUAGAGGGGGGUAGAAUUCCAGGUGUAGCGGUGAAAUGCGUAGAGAUCUGGAGGAAUACCGGUGGCGAAGGCGGCCCCCUGGACGAAGACUGACGCUCAGGUGCGAAAGCGUGGGGAGCAAACAGGAUUAGAUACCCUGGUAGUCCACGCCGUAAACGAUGUCGACUUGGAGGUUGUGCCCUUGAGGCGUGGCUUCCGGAGCUAACGCGUUAAGUCGACCGCCUGGGGAGUACGGCCGCAAGGUUAAAACUCAAAUGAAUUGACGGGGGCCCGCACAAGCGGUGGAGCAUGUGGUUUAAUUCGAUGCAACGCGAAGAACCUUACCUGGUCUUGACAUCCACGGAAGUUUUCAGAGAUGAGAAUGUGCCUUCGGGAACCGUGAGACAGGUGCUGCAUGGCUGUCGUCAGCUCGUGUUGUGAAAUGUUGGGUUAAGUCCCGCAACGAGCGCAACCCUUAUCCUUUGUUGCCAGCGGUCCGGCCGGGAACUCAAAGGAGACUGCCAGUGAUAAACUGGAGGAAGGUGGGGAUGACGUCAAGUCAUCAUGGCCCUUACGACCAGGGCUACACACGUGCUACAAUGGCGCAUACAAAGAGAAGCGACCUCGCGAGAGCAAGCGGACCUCAUAAAGUGCGUCGUAGUCCGGAUUGGAGUCUGCAACUCGACUCCAUGAAGUCGGAAUCGCUAGUAAUCGUGGAUCAGAAUGCCACGGUGAAUACGUUCCCGGGCCUUGUACACACCGCCCGUCACACCAUGGGAGUGGGUUGCAAAAGAAGUAGGUAGCUUAACCUUCGGGAGGGCGCUUACCACUUUGUGAUUCAUGACUGGGGUGAAGUCGUAACAAGGUAACCGUAGGGGAACCUGCGGUUG
rnacentral:rRNA from 1 species